UCACCCUGGAGCAGCCAUUUGGAAAUUAUUUAAUCACACUAAGAGUAACCUUAAAAACAUUAGGUUAUUUUCAAAUGAUAUUCCCAGAGGGGCUGCCCAAACAAUGGCUGCUAAUCCACAUGAAAAAUCCUUCUGGAAAUGAGAAGCGUUUCCAGAAAGAGUUGAACUUUGACCAACCUCAAAGUUUCCUAAAAUAUUCCACUCCCUUCCCCAAUUUAGAAUGUUUCUACCCUCCUUCACAGUCUU
rnacentral:lncRNA from 1 species